AUGAGUCGACGCAGUCAAAGAAUACUUCAGAGGGUGAACGUUGCAAAUGAUAUAUCGAACAAUGAUUCUGAUAUUACGCAUCCAGUAAAUGAAGCAGAAAAUUCAUUCAUCGAAAAUCUUGAAACACAUCAGUCGAACUCAAAGCCUAAAAAGAAGAUAAAAUCAAAGUCACGUGACUUAUCGGUGAACGUUGCAAAUGAUAUAUCGAACAAUGAUUCUGAUAAUACGCAUCCAGUAAAUGAAGCAGAAAAUUCAUUCAUCGAAAAUCUUGAAAAUCUUGCUUCGACAAUCGAAACCAUUUUUUCAUCUAUAUUUUGUAGGCCUUUUUGGCAACACUAUUUUCCCCGCAAAUAAGCCGGAAAUUAAAACGAUUGCGUCCUUCGAUGUACUUGACAUUCAACUGAAUUCAACCUGUUAAUAAUAAGAAAUCAACUAAUAUUCUUUCAUUUUAUUGGUCUGGAUUAGCACUGCUUUCAGAGAGCGCCAAAAUUCAAACGAGCCAAUCAGAUUUAAAUAUUGCAAAUCGCUACAUCGAAUGACAUCAUGAUUCUUCGUUAAAAAUGGCGCUUUUUGCAAAAUCUAGGGAUUUUUUAAGUAUAUUUGAGCAAAUCUGGGGAUUUAGGGAUUUUUAGCGAAAUCUAGGCAUUUUUUUUCUUCCCCGCUAGGGAUUUAAUAUCGGAAGACUGGCUUCCAGUAUCGUAGCGUUGAUCGUCGCUGAUGUCGAAAUUUCGACAUCAAUUCCGGUGAGGAAUACGUCUCUACCCUUAACUCAAUAUAAAUAUACAAAUUGAUAAGUGAGUGCUUUAGUCUCCUGAAAACAGAAUUGCGAAACUUAAAAUUGGAGAAAAAUGAUGAGUAAAUGAAAAAAUGGAACCAAUUGAUGGGAUAUGUCGCAUGCCAUUCUGACACAAAAUAUGGCGUCUAUCGAAUCACCUUAACUAAAUAAAAUAACCAAAUUUUCAACUAUCAAACUAUCAAAUAUCAACUAUCAAAUUUCAAACUAUCAAAAUUUCCAACAAUGACAAAAAUGAUUGUAAUAUACAUAUAAUGUAAUGAAAUAUACACGCUCUAAUCAUUUAAUUUGUAUUACCUUUAUGUUAUGUACCUACAUGUUAUACUAUUUUUAUAAUAAAUUUUGCCAACAUGCUUUUCAAUUCAGUCUACAACAUUUCAUUCCGACGUGGCAAUAAUGAUUUAUAAUGCCCCUAAUCCAUUAAAAUGAAUUACAAUAGUAAUGCAGCAUUAUAAUGUCGUAUUAUACAUCGCAAGGAUUCAUGUCCUACUGAUUAUUGAUUAUUGUAAGAUGAAUUCUGUUUUCUCUGAUUGUAUGUUUCAUACGUGCGAAGCAAGUACGGGUCACUAGAAACGUGGUUCGUACAGGUGGCUGAUGAAAUUGAUCUUCGAAUACCUUUUGAUGAGCUAGGGAAAUGGAACCAUCUGCAUCUCAUGGACAAUAAAUAGUUGCCGUAAUUAAGGUCAUCCCGUGAUUAAGGUGCCGUGAUUUAAGUCAUAAAUUCUUCAUCUAAUUCUUGAUUCAUCUCCAAAAUGUCUGCUAAAGCUUUCAUGCGCUUCUCCUUGUAUGCAUGAAUGAGCAAAUUGGGUAUCGAACAAGCGGACACUUUUUAAAAAUUCAGAUGAUUCUGGACAAUAUCGUACAGUUUCCACGAGCUGCAGAUAGAACCAUUACCUCUAGCUCAUCAAAAGUUAUUCGAAGAUCAUUCAACAACCUCUUUGACAAGUUGCAAAAACUUUUCGUUAACAAUAGUGUCACACGGUACUAGGAAUAUUUACUAUUUAACGAACCUUAUAUUUCCCUGACUCAAUCCUAAAUUAUAGAAGUAUGCGUUACUUUUCCAGCAAUCCAAAAAAACAAUUAUACAAAAAACCAAUACCUACACUUUCAGAUAUAAAAAUGCAAAUUUUUUGCAGCCUCGCUAAACGACUUAUCAACCAGAGAUUUUUUAGGAAGCGGACCUCCAAAGAGCUUUCAAAAUUAAAAGUAUACAACAAGUGAUAAUGCCAUGUAUUCGCCAUAUCAAAGCCCAAUACACAUUUAUACACCGGCUACGUAAAUCUGCUAAGUUACAAAACAUGAAUCGACAGUUGUCGGAUUGUACAUCAAUGACAAAAUGUGUCUAGGCCCUCAUUCUUGACUACAACUACUGCCCCCAGAGCCGCUCUCCGACGCCAAUGCGUUGGAGCUUCCUGCUUGUUUUCUUUGAAACCCUAUUCAACGUAAUUUUUUGGAAACUUCUCUGAUCGUUCUUCUCGUGUUAAUGGAGUAUUC
rnacentral:lncRNA from 1 species